GCCAAUACGCUUCCACAAUGGUUCCACUGAAUACACACUACGUUCAUACCAGUGUCAAUCAAAACAGGAUUGUGGUCAUUCUCAUCUCUCAUUAUCUGGCAUCUUCCAUUUUCAUAACAGAUAGCAAGACAAGGACAAUCUGGUUCAACAUAGCCUUCUGUACCAUGGUACCAAUGUAUUCCAGCAAUGCGGAAAGUUCCUGUUAAGUUCACCAAACAACUCAGCUUCAUUUUCACAAUGAAGUUUCCAUUACUGUCAUAAAUGUGGAUUUCUCCAUUUGCCAUUCCAAAGAGCAAGACUUUGCUAUCAGAGGACCAGGCCACAUGACACAGGUGUGUACCUUUCAAGUCUUUACCCCAAAUGCGAUUGCCAUCUACAGAUCCAACAAUCACAGCUCCAUCUUCGUAUACAAUACAAAUCUUCUGCCCAUCAGCAUUCCAGCUCAUGCUUCGAACAACAGAUUUAUUUCUGUUGUUUAUCAUCUCUUCAUACCAAGCACCUUUAUAUAUGAUCCACACAAUGAUGAGCCCAUUUUGAUCACUGGUUGUUAAUUUGUGGUACUGUUCAUUCCACGUCACCACCUGCACGGAACCGCUAUGACCUUCAAGAGUUUGAUUCAUAGAAAGAUUGCUAGGAGCUGCAAGUCCCUUUAUUUUUGCUUCAUCUGACUGUGUUUCUAAUUUUAAAACUUUCAGUAAUCCAUCCUCUCCACCACAGGCUAUGAAGCCUUCAUCCUUGUUCCAGGAAAUACAUCUUAAUCGGACAUUACCAGGAAUUGCAAUCUUCUUGCACAGGUAGAUAAACAUCCUGGGACAGCGGGCGGCGAACAGGAGGAGCGACACAGCCCAC
rnacentral:lncRNA from 1 species